CAGCUCAAAUUUGAAAUCUGGCCCUCGGGUCCGAGUUGUAAUUUGCAGAGGAUGCUUUUGGCGCGGUGCCUUCCGAGUUCCCUGGAACGGGACGCCUUAGAGGGUGAGAGCCCCGUACGGUUGGACACCAAGCCUCUGUAAAGCUCCUUCGACGAGUCGAGUAGUUUGGGAAUGCUGCUCUAAAUGGGAGGUAAAUUUCUUCUAAAGCUAAAUAUUGGCCAGAGACCGAUAGCGCACAAGUAGAGUGAUCGAAAGAUGAAAAGCACUUUGAAAAGAGGGUUAAAUAGCACGUGAAAUUGUUGAAAGGGAAGCGUUUGCGACCAGACCUCUUCCUGGCGGAUCAUCCGGUGUUCUCACCGGUGCACUUCGCCAGGUCUAGGCCAGCAUCGGUUUCCGCAGGGGGACAAAAGCUCCAGGAACGUAGCUCCCUCGGGAGUGUUAUAGCCUUCUGCAUAAUACCCUUGCGGGGACCGAGGACCGCGCUUCGGCAAGGAUGCUGGCGUAAUGGUCGUCAACGACCCGUCUUGAAACACGGACCAAGGAGUCGAACAUUUGUGCGAGUGUUUGGGUGUCAAACCCUCACGCGUAAUGAAAGUGAACGGAGGUGAGAGCCCUUACGGGUGCAUCAUCGACCGAUCCUGAUGUCUUCGGAUGGAUUUGAGUAAGAGCAUAACUGUUCGGACCCGAAAGAUGGUGAACUAUGCGUGGAUAGGGUGAAGCCAGAGGAAACUCUGGUGGAGGCUCGCAGCGGUUCUGACGUGCAAAU
rnacentral:rRNA from 1 species